rnacentral:rRNA from 1 species
AUCAAUUGAUACUCCCCUAGUAGCGGCGAGCGAACGGGGAGGAGCCGACGAGUUUUAGUGUAGAAGAAAGGUUUGGAAAGGCCUACUGUAAAGGGUGAUAGUCCCGUAUUCGAAACACUUUAAUGAGCAUAUUAAGUAGGGCGGAACACGAGAAAUUCUGUCUGAAGAUGGGGGGACCAUCCUCCAAGGCUAAAUACUCGUGAUCGACCGAUAGUGAACCAGUACCGUGAGGGAAAGGU